CUUAGUCCGGUUCAUACAACGUCCUACGAUCCAACUGCUGCUCCUUGCAACGGUUAGCGCAGCUGUUUUCUGACGGACUACACCAUUCGUCGAUGUUCUUCGGGGGUGCUUCACCACUCUGUUGCCAUAUCAGAGGACUGGGAUCACUUGGUACUGGGCAUAUACUGUAUUUAAGAAGGCCUCAAAAAUAUUUCUUGAAAAUUAUUUAUUCCAUUGUAUUUCAGAUCAAUCUCCUUCGAUGCUUUCCGAUAGAGGGCGAUAUAUGUGAAACGACAUCCUCUAGUGAUAAUUAUGAUGAUUCAGAAUAAAUAAAAGAUUAGUCACGCACUGUAGUAUGAAAAAAAAUGUUAAAUAUCUCCAUACAAAAAUUUGUAAGCGAAGAGAGGAGGACUAUUAGACACGCAACAUUAACAUAUCGAAUGUCUCUG